rnacentral:rRNA from 1 species
CAGUAGCCGCGGUAAUACGAAGGGGGCUAGCGUUGCUCGGAAUUACUGGGCGUAAAGGGAGCGUAGGCGGACAUUUAAGUCAGGGGUGAAAUCCCAGAGCUCAACUCUGGAACUGCCUUUGAUACUGGGUGUCUUGAGUGUGAUAGAGGUAUGUGGAACUCCGAGUGUAGAGGUGAAAUUCGUAGAUAUUCGGAAGAACACCAGUGGCGAAGGCGACAUACUGGAUCAUUACUGACGCUGAGGCUCGAAAGCGUGAGGAGCAAACAGGAUUAGAUACUCCUGUAGUCCCUGUCUCUUAUAC